UGGCUGUGUGGGAGGGCCCUAGAAUGUAAGUCGGAUGUUUGUAACUCUCUGUAUGUGCAAAUUAAUUUGUAGAUAGAAAAUGACUUGAAAGCAUUCAAAAACAACAAUCAAAAUGUGCAGCAAAGUGAAAGACAGCAGGAAAUCAUAAGAGUCGCCCUUUUACAAAGCCUUCCGCCUUCUCUGUCACAGUGUGCUGGUGCCUUCCCAAACAAGAACUGCAUAGCAUUGAGCCAGGGCAGAUAAAGUGAUGUCAAAGUGUGUUCAUUCUACAGUGGGAUCAGUAAUUUUAAAAUCCAAGACCUACACAACAUAUACAUGUGUAAGGAUAAAGAGGAGGAGAGAAAUAAGUCUGCUUCUUUGAACUUUUUGGAAGAAAGGUACUCAUUCCUUGCCUUGUGUGGGAACCAGAGAUGGGACAUAAUCUAAGGAACAAAGGAUUUCCUGGAUCUCAAUAGGAGGCUAUCUGACUGCUGCUCAAAAGUUCCCUUUUGGGGAUCUUACCUAUCCAUGGGACAAAAGUCUAGGAAGAAACUUUGAUAGCAAUCUCAUCAACAGUAGACAUGUUUGAGACUCUUUCUUUGUCUCACCAGCAUGGGGACCAACAACUCUCUCUGUCCUCUGCACCGGGCCCCAAAAUCUGCAUAAUGCUGUCAAAUAAUCUUUUGGACUUUUCUUUGUCUUCAGCAUUCCAUUGCUACACACCCAGGGGGUUGACAUAGUCCCUGGAAACCUCUCCAUCCCCGGGAUUGCCUCCACCAGCCCCAGGACCUCCCUGUAAGCCCCAGGACCUCCCUGCCCAGCUGGGGGGAGAUCCCCGCCAUUGUCACUGCCGCCUUCUCCAAUCAAGGUGGCCACUGUCUAGGACCCACCUCCUGAUCAGUCAGAGGUCUGGGAAAUGCUGGCCGGCUUCUCAGCGCUAGCCAGUUAGCGGGAAGGGACGGAUAUUCAAAAUGUAGCAAUAUUAAUGCAUGAUAACUUUUGUGUAUAAAAAUGCCUGCUUAUGAUUAUGCUUUUACACCUGUACCCUUUGAGCACCAGUUGCUGUACAAGUGUCCCUUCUGUUCAGAUUAAAUAAAGUCUCUGUCACUUGCCUUCAA